AUUGAACGCUGGCGGCAGGCCUAACACAUGCAAGUCGAGCGAGCGGCGGAAGGGUGAGUCCUGUCUAGGAAACUGCCUGAUGGAGGGGGCUAACUACUGGAAACGGUAGCUAAUACUGCAUACCAUCAGAUGUGCGCAGAUGGGGUUAGCUAGUUGGUGGGGUAACGGCUCACCUAGGCGACGAUCCCUAGCUGGUCUGAGAGGAUGACCAGCCACACUGGAACUGAGACACGGUCCAGACUCCUACGGGAGGCAGCAGUGGGGAAUAUUGCACAAUGGGCGAAAGCCUGAUGCAGCCAUGCCGCGUGUGUGAAGAAGGCCUUCGGGUUGUAAAGCACUUUAAGCUGGGAGGCGUUACCCGCAGAAUAAGCACCGGCUAACUCCGUGCCAGCAGCCGCGGUAAUAC
rnacentral:rRNA from 1 species